CAAAACAGUUGUUAACUGUCAACACACACACGUGAGGUGGAUAUUCCUUUAUUUUAUUUGAUUGCUAAAACGUGUACAUGUGCGUUGUACUGUGGACAACCCCGCUGUCCCACCACGUCAACGAAUAACUACCCCACGUGGCCCCAGAGGAGAUAUCUAGAGUGGUGAGCUAGCAUCAGGCUAACGAGGCUAACAAUGAGUGCCAGCCGGCGUUUAACCUCUACGAGCCGCAGGGGCAAAGCUUCAGAGAGCCGGGGUAAAGAGCACCCAGCACCCAGGGGUGCCAGCAGGGUGCUGGGCGAGAGGAACCAGUCGGUGGUGGCGGUGGGAGCCUGGGUGGAGGGCGGACAAGACUUCCUGGAGCACCCAGAGGCUCUGGCUUUGCUUACUGAGGAGAUCCAGGCAGAGAAGAGGAGGGAGACCGAAGAGAGCCUUCAACGAUUUCAAGAUGAAGUACGCCAUCGUGUGGCACAGCAAGCUCAAGUCAUCAAGAAGAGACGGCAGCCUCAGACAGACUCAGAGGUGAAACCUGACAGGAGAAUCCCACAACGGCAGCAUCAGGUCUGGACCCAGCAUGUGUCUGCUGGUGAGAGGCUGUUGUCUGCGGGAGAUGCUGCACAACAGAGGGUGACUGAGAGGAGCUCUCAUGAGUCUAGAGGAGGUAUGAGGCAGGUCAGACUCAGACUGGCCGCCUGUCGGAUGAUCCCGCAUGGGGAAAUGACGUCAGACCUUCCUGGUGGCGAAUGGAACAUCUCUCCAACCAGACAUAAAUCUGGAUCUCAUGUGCUAAAACCAGAACAGGAAGUGGAAGAGCAGGAGGAGGAGGAUGUUCAGGAAGAAGAAGAGGAGGAUGAUCAUCUCUUCCCUAGUCAACAUGCGUGUCCUCUCGUUCGGCAGAAGGUGAGUGAGCCUGUGUUGUUGGAUUCAGAGAAAUCACAGCCUCCUGCUUUCAAGUCCAUUGACAGAGUCCCACAGGCCCUGUGGCCUCUGACUGACCAAGAAGAACUGAAAAGACAGCGUCAGUCUCAGUUCCUGAUGCACCGCCGUCUGUACAUGAACAUCGAGAGAGAGCAAGUGAAGGAGAACAAACAGAACAGGAAACACCUGAAGAGGACGGCAAGGAUCAAAGAAGAGAAAGAACAGAUUCGUCUGGAGGAGGAGAGGAAGUUGGAGAGAGUUCGGCAGCUCGUGGAGGCCAGACAGAAGCUGGAGGAGAGAGAGCUGCUGAUUCUGGAGCGUCUGAAGCUUGAGGAGGAGGAGGAGAGAGAAGUGCAGCUGCAGAGAAGGCAAAGGGAGGAUAAAGGGAAAGCAGCUGCAAGGUUCAUUGAGGCUCUUAGAGCUCAGAUGAAGGAGCGACUUUCUCAGGAGAAGCUGGAGCCGCCUCCUCUCUGCUGCUGUGCAUCAUCCUUCUGGGAGUCCCACCCAGACACCUGCGCUAACAACUGUAUCUUCCACAACAAUCCCAAAGCGUAUGCCAAGGCGUUACAUUCCACAAUGAUGAGUUUGGAGUUACAGUAAAGGAAGCUGAUGAACUGAAACAGUCUCCCACCUGUGUGUUUUAAAGGAACAGUCCAACAUUUCUGGGAAAAAACAGCGCAUUCAUGUUUUCCACAAGAUUAAUGCAGGCAUCUAUCAGAUGGUGUGGCGCAAAAUUUUGGGAAGACAUUGAUGGCUCUGAGAUUAUGUAUCCUAAAGACUUUGGUGAUCCACUGACUUUGCUCUAGUGCCUUUCAUCAGGUCAAAAUGUUACUUUACCCAAUACUUUGAUUUUUUUUUACUAAAUGCCUACAGUACUAAAGACAACAGAUACUGUAAGAAUCACAUUUAACUUUAUUUAUAGAUAAAUGCACAAGUCAUUUACCGAUUUUUCUGCUUUAAUCAUAUUUAUUUGGAUGAGGAUUUAAACUCAUCUACAGGUUGGAGAGUGAGUUUUUCAAAUGGAUUAUUUGUAUUUUAAGCAGAAUCUUGUCAUUGCUUUGCAUUUUCUUUGAGUAUUUUGUUUGAUGUUGUUGAUAAAUUCAUCAGAUUGGCAGCAGAUUGACAGAAGAGGCAGAUGUCAAUCUUCUUAAAGUUUCAUACACAUUCCUCCCAGUAAUUUACUUGUAGUAAUUGUUAUUGAUAAAAAAGAAAUAGGUAUAAUUGCUUCCUUUCUGCGAAGCUAUGAUUAGUAAAUCAUCAGGGAAGUCAGUCAGUACAUUUGAAAACUAUGAAUCUGUACUUUAGGCUACUUCAACAUUCUUCAGGGUUGUGCUUAAAAAAAUGUAAUAUUUUUUUUUUCUUCUUAAUAGGAACAAGUGUGUAAUCUAUCAUACAGUAAUAUCUUCCUGCAUGAGACACAUUUUUAUUUCAAAAUGGACUACUCUCUGUUCGGAUUCUUACAUAAUUUUUUUCUGAAUGAUUAUAGUCUUGGCUAUAUUUAGAUAUUUUGAAUGUAUGGUGAUGGUGUCAAUUGUUGGAAGUUGAAAUGUUCUAAUCUCUAUUUAUAACACUGUGGUAUGAAAUCCUGAUAAAGAAUUUGA